rnacentral:rRNA from 1 species
UACGUAGGAGGCAAGCGUUGUCCGGAUUUACUGGGCGUAAAGCGCGCGCAGGCGGCAGUGCAAGUAAGGUGUGAAAUCUCCCUGCUCAACGGGGAGGGUGCAUUUUAGACUGCACAGCUAGAGGUCGGUAGAGGGGGGUGGAAUUGCUGGUGUAGCGGUGAAAUGCGUAGAGAUCAGCAGGAACACCCGUGGCGAAGGCGGCCCCCUGGGCCGUACCUGACGCUGAUGCGCGAAAGCGUGGGUAGCAAACAGG